AAUCAACGCUGGCGGCAUGCCUAACACAUGCAAGUCGAACGCGAAAGCGGACUUCGGUCCGUGAGUAGAGUGGCAAACGGGUGAGUAACACGUGGGCGACCUGCCUUCGAGUGGGGGAUAACCUUCCGAAAGGAGGGCUAAUACCGCAUAACAUCCCGUGUUUGGAUACACGGCGAUCAAAGCCGGGGAUCGCAAGACCUGGCGCUUGAAGAGGGGCUCGCGUCCGAUUAGCUUGUUGGUGAGGUAAUGGCUCACCAAGGCUCCGAUCGGUAGCCGGCCUGAGAGGGCGGACGGCCACACUGGGACUGAGACACGGCCCAGACUCCUACGGGAGGCAGCAGUGGGGAAUUGUUCGCAAUGGGCGAAAGCCUGACGACGCAAUGCCGCGUGGAGGAUGAAGACUUUCGGGUCGUAAACUCCUUUCGACCGAGAUGAACGCCUGUCGGCCUAAUACGUCGGCGGGGUGACAGUAUCGAGGGAAGAAGCCCCGGCUAACUCCGUG
rnacentral:rRNA from 1 species